AUGCUUCCUAAUGCUUAUUUAACUAGAAUAUUGACGCAUGAUUGUUUUGUGUCCAUUUUGUGACUGUCCAUUACUCAUAUACUUAAAUUAUCUAACCUGCUACUGAUAUCUCAAUUGGAAUUUCCGAAAGGUUCAAACCUCCUGCAUAAAGGAAAAGUAGCUUGUGAUUACAAAUGAGACAGCUGCACAUCAGUAUCUUGAUGAGACAGAUGGCAUGUGAUUUUAUAUCUGUAAAUGUUGUACAUGGGUCUAGAAAGGGGAAAAACAAUAUAAUUAACUGUUGCCGGCCAGGAGACUGUGUGUGGGAGAGAGGAGGCUCUGUCUUCCUUAAAGGUGUAGUGUUCACAAUUUGCGAAGCAAUUUUUAUUUCUGAGAAAUACAGUUAUGAUAGGAAGUUGUCAGUCAACGGAAUACACAUGACAAGAGGCUGCUCGACAUGGUUAUCAGUGAUCACAUUGUUCGUUUAUUCAGACUGCUUCAGUCUCAAGGCAUACAGACAGGUCAGUUGAGGAUUAACGAGUGAAAAGCAAUGCCAUCCUGUCCAAUUUGCUUAGAAGAAAUGCUGCAAGAGCCAGCAGCAUGUAUCCCGUGUGGACAUACCUUUUGCUUCAGUUGCAUAACUGCGUGGAUGGAACAUGAUCCUCUCUCCAUCCUACCUCCUUGUCCCCAGUGCCGCUUGCCAAUUCGUGAAGUGACACAGAUUUUUAUCUUAGAUUUGCCAGUGUUGACAAAGAAGGAGCAGGAGGCAAGUGGGUGGAGGGGUGCCUGGAUGCACUUCCGGCAGGAUGUCCUCUGCUUUGCUAAUUACAUGAGGCGACAUUCUACACUCUUGUCUCUUAUUUCAUGGAAUGGCCUAGAAGGCAGAAGAAUAACUUUACAAGAACCGGCGCUUAAUAGCUGUCAUUGUGCUGCUAGUCCUUCUUCUGUUAGUUCAAGAUGCUGUGUUUGAGGAUGGACUUAACCGAGGGAUUUUCAUUUCUGUUAUCCUUCUCGUCUUCGAUGCCAUGAGUCAUGUGACUAUUGCUGCUGCCAAUAUACUGGUGCGACCGUUUCCAUGCCUUUGUUCCUGUGGACUUGAAAUUAUAAUGGCACUCACAGACAUUAUUUAUAAUCUUUUGAGACUUGUUGUCUUGGUUGGUUUCGAUUUGGUUUGUAUCCCAUGGCAACUACUAGGAAUGCGCUUGCAGCUAUCAAUAUUAUUAUUGAAUAUUUUUAUCAUAUCUUUUUCUUUGUUUUUUGCCUUACUUUAGUAUAGUUCGUUCUUCCUAUCUUUAUUUUAUUCUGUUUUAUAAUUUAGCUAUACAGAGAUAUUAAUUACAGGCGCGCAAUUAUUGGAUCAGAGUUCUUGGGAAAAACUGUAAAACACUCUUGGAACACUCUGGGGUCACUUAUACUUUUAUAUUUUAAAUUUAUAUGUGUUAAAGAAAGCACAUUAUUUUACCAUUUUCAUUCGAAUUUCAAAGAAAAUUCUGUGUUUAUAUGUACAUAACUUAUUUUUGAAUGAUAGCAAUUUUUGGUAGCUUCUAUUUGAAGCUUGGUCAACAAAAAAGUAUAGCGUAAAGUAUAGUAUAACUAAAUAUGGAAAAAUUUUGAAACCAUUGUGCCAGCAGUCAAACAAACCAAUGUACCUCAUCAAAACUGGGAGGAGCACUAGGUUUAGUAAUGAAACUGUACAAUUCACUGGUUUGAUUUCCCUGAAAUUUUUUUUCAACAUCUCAACACUGUUCAUACAUUCUUGGUGAAAGAAUCCAAAACUUUAAAGUAUUUAAUUGUCAAACAAUGGACGGAAUUAUUCUUAUAAAUGUUAACAGCAGUAAGUCAGUAGCAAUAAACAUUUUGUUUAUAACAAUAACACAAUAAUAAAGGAUAACUGAAAACUAGAAUAAAAUAUCAAGUAUUUGUAUGCUGCAAAUAUAAAAUAUGCAAGACUAAUUUUAUAAACUUUUCGCAACAUAAGUUGUUUGUUUUUCGCAAUAAAAGGACGGAUUCGGUAAACCAAAACGAGAAAAUAUCACAGCUGACACUUAUCAGGAAUUAUCUUCUUCUUCCUUUUCCUAAUCGCCCCCAGUGGAGCAUAGGGCCGCAACUACACCCGCCAUCGGACCCGGUUCUGACCUUCUCAAUAAGAAAUUACAUAAAUAUAUAAUUAUAUACAAUUGUAAAUUGGUAUUGCUUUUCCCAUCACUGAGCAUCUACACAUAUAUACAAUAAUUAAUUUACAUUGGUAUAUAAUUAUUACGCUGCAAAAAAAAUAAAUAAAUAAAUCAGUACUGUUCGUGUCGAAAUUAAUUCUUGAACAAGAAGACAAGCAUGAUCGGUAACAGAGUCACGUGCAGGUCACUCGAAAGGUCGCCUGGACAGAAAUACAAUCUCAUUAGACAGAUGUGUCUGCUAAGAUGAAUUGAUUGCUUUUGUUUAUUUGCUGCUACACAAUCAUGGAAAACCUGUUCUUGUUAUAACUAAAACCAUAAAUGAUGUUUAUACUGUGCACUACGGAUAAAUUUUACUAUUCCGGGAAAACCUACCUCCUGCAGAAUGUUCACUGAAGAUAGGAUGCCUACCGACUCUUGUAAUGUCAGGUAGUAAACCUGAAGUCAAAAAUAAUAAAUGAUAAAAUUUUAAAGUCAUCGUAAAAAUCCUGUCAAUCCCUCAUCAAUACAUGAAGAUUAAAACUUGAUUUUGCAUGAGCCAAUUUUUUUUUUUGCACCUGGAGCUACAUGUGCUGGACCACUGCUAGAUAAAUAGUACUAUCUCAAGCUUACUUGUUAAACUUUUACAACCUGUAUUGUUUACUUUGGCGGUAUUUAUUUUGUCGCCACCAACUGAUACCUUUCUUGGGAUGAAAGUGGCAUGAAGUACUGUCGGACUCUGAGGUCCCUGACAUCCGACAUGUAUACUUCCCCGCGUGUUUCGUAGUGGCGUGCGGUAUCCGGAUGGUCACUUGGUCUGUGGCGACAUUGUCGUAAGUGAAACCAUCCAGAACAGUGCACUGCAACUUUUCGCGAUUCCAGAAGCAGCUGACAACACUUUCUGGAAAGAGAUUUACAAGAUGUGUCUGAAAAGUAACGGGACUGGUGUCACAAACAAUUUAUUAUAAUUCCCUACAACAAACUAGAUGGUUUCGCCUUCAAAGUAAUAUCAUGACAUCUGAGUUGUUGACUUUAUGUGCAAGAUGAUGUUUUUAGCCGUGUAUCUCGCCAACAAAACUUGUAUACUUGAUUUAAGGAAACAGUAUAUUGCACUCAGCUUUACCAAAUAAAGCACCUGGAUGUACAACUUUUUGAAUGAACAGAGAUAGAGUUGCUGGAAGGAGGAACAAAAGAGAAACAGACAAUUGGAAGGACCUGCAGGAUGGUGUCCGACGUGAUGAUGUACAGUGAAGUUCUUCUUGGUCUGACUAAUGUUUGUUGUUGUUGAUGAUGAUAGCAAAAGUUCAAAGCUUCCUACUCCAUUGAAGGCGAGCUCAGUGUUUAUUUGCUUAACCCCCUCAAAAAAAA
rnacentral:lncRNA from 1 species